rnacentral:snRNA from 1 species
GGGUGUGAGGGAGACCUGGCUGUGACAUCUAUCACCCCACUGAUCACCAGAGUUGAUUUGGCUGAUCUGGCUGUCGAGGUAGGUGUCUCUUUCCUCCCUCACCACUCCAUGUGUAACCCUCCCAAAGCUGAGCACUAGAUGGAAGAGGGGGAUCUUCCCCUAUAGAUGACCCAUCUUCAGUCAGGGGUCUCUGAGUACCUGCACUCCCUGCUAGAAUCUCCAAACAAGCUCUCCAAUUCAAGUGUGUGGCUUAGUGUUAGAGCACUUGCCUAGCAUACACAAGGCCUGGGUUCCAU